UACGUAGGGGGCAAGCGUUGUCCGGAUUUAUUGGGCGUAAAGAGCGUGUAGGCGGCCAGGUAGGUCGGCUGUGAAAACUCGAGGCUCAACCUCGAGAUGUCGGCCGAAACCAUCUGGCUAGAGUCCGGAAGAGGAGAGUGGAGUUCCCGGUGUAGCGGUGAAAUGCGCAGAUAUCGGGAAGAACACCCGUGGCGAAGGCGGCUCUCUGGGGCGGUACUGACGCUGAGACGCGAAAGCGUGGGGAGCGAACA
rnacentral:rRNA from 1 species